rnacentral:rRNA from 1 species
GCUUUACUGUAACUUGGAAUUGAGUUUGGGCUCUUCUUGCGCAGUAUAGGUGGGAGGCUAAGAAAAUAUGCUUGCGGGCAUAUUUGAGCCAUCAUUGAGAUACCACUCUGGAAGGGUUGGAACUCUAACUUUGAGCCGUAAGCCGGCCAAAAGACAGUUUCUGGUGGGCAGUUUGACUGGGGCGGUCGCCUCCUAAAAAGUAACGGAGGCGCGCAAAGGUUCCCUCAGGCUGGAUCGGAAAUCAGUCGUUAAGAGUGUAAAGGUAUAAGGGAGCUUGACUGCAAGACAAUACAAGUCGAGCAGGGGACGAAAGUCGGCCUUAGUGAUCCGACGGUACCAUGCGUGGAAGGGCCGUCGCUCAACGGAUAAAAGUUA